UUAAUUGAAACCAAAUCAGAGGUAUGUCACUGUUAAUGAUAAAAAUGAGAAUUUUUCUCCAAUUAAG
rnacentral:tRNA from 1 species